rnacentral:rRNA from 1 species
UACAGAGGGUGCAAGCGUUUGUUCGGAAUUAUUGGGCGUAAAGCGCGUGUAGGCGGCUUUGCAAGUCGGGUGUGAAAGCCCUCAGCUCAACUGAGGAAGUGCGCCCGAAACUGCAGAGCUUGAGUACCGGAGAGGGUGGCGGAAUUCCCCAAAGUAGAGGUGAAAUUCGUAGAUAUGGGGAGGAACACCGGUGGCGAAGGCGGCCACCUGGACGGUCACUGACGCUGAGACGCGAAAGCGUGGGGAGCAAACAGG